GUCGGGUUCGGGAUGAAGUGGUUGACCGUGCCGCCGAACACCGCGAGCGUGCGUUUGCCGUCCUGCACCAUCUGGACGCCGCGGCUGCGGAAUUCCUU
rnacentral:sRNA from 1 species